rnacentral:rRNA from 1 species
UAAUACGAAGGGGGCUAGCGUUGUUCGGAAUUACUGGGCGUAAAGCGCGCGUAGGCGGACACUUAAGUCAGGGGUGAAAUCCCGAGGCUCAACCUCGGAACUGCCUUUGAUACUGCGUGUCUGGAGUCCGGAAGAGGUUGGUGGAAUUCCGAGUGUAGAGGUGAAAUUCGUAGAUAUUCGGAGGAACACCAGAGGCGAAGGCGGCCAACUGGUCCGGUACUGACGCUGAGGCGCGAAAGCGUGGGGAGCAAACAGGAUUAGAUACCCUGGUAGUCCACGCCGUAAACGAUGGAUGCCAGCCGUUGGCAGGCUUGCCUGUCAGUGGCGCAGCUAACGCAUUAAGCAUCCCGCCUGGGGAGUACGGUCGCAAGAUUA